UACGUAGGUGGCGAGCGUUGUCCGGAUUUACUGGGCGUAAAGAGCGCGCAGGCGGCUGGUCAAGUCCGAUGUGAAAGCUCCCGGCUUAACUGGGAAAUUGCAUCGGAAACUGAUCGGCUGGAAGGUGGGAGAGGGUAGCGGAAUUCCCGGUGUAGUGGUGAAAUGCGUAGAUAUCGGGAGGAACAUCUGUGGCGAGGGCGACACCCUGGACCAGCACUGACACUGAGGCACGAAAGCGUGGGGAGCAAACAGG
rnacentral:rRNA from 1 species